AGGUCCCUACUCGGUUGGUGAUGAGUGAAACUAUCGUUGAACCAACACCUAUUUGAGGGGUUGCCGGGUUCCUUCGCCUCGAUGCCUGCCUUACGGCGGGAGACGGGCGCGGGACAGGCACCCACCUGUGGUUUCGCAGGUUCAAAUAGGGUUGCUCACACGGCCAAAGCGGGGACCUC
rnacentral:other from 1 species